rnacentral:rRNA from 1 species
UGCGUAGGCGGCGCUAUAAGUCAGAGGUGAAAGGCCACAGCUUAACUGUGGGACUGCCUUUGAUACUCUAGUGCUUGAAUUAGGUUGAGGUCGGCGGAAUGUGACAUGUAGCGGUGAAAUGCUUAGAUAUGUCAUAGAACACCAAUUGCGAAGGCAGCUGACUAGACCUUAAUUGACGCUGAGGCACGAAAGCGUGGGGAGCGAACAGGAUUAGAUACCCUGGUAGUCC